ACCGACUUCAAUAAAACUUGCUGAGUAAGUCUCGUCUUGCCUAGACGCACGUGCCUGAAUGUAUAAUUGAAGCAAAUCUUGACUCAGAUUUGAAAUAAAAAUUCUGCACGAAAACAGAGCUUCAGUAUGCUGUACUAUAAUGCUACAGCAUCUCAGUCCAGCAUCUGGCUGGUUGGCUUUUGCAAAAUGUAGCCAAUCAAAACACCAACAAU
rnacentral:lncRNA from 1 species